rnacentral:rRNA from 1 species
UACAGAGGUCUCAACCGUUGUUCGGAUUCAUUGGGCGUAAAGGGUGCGUAGGCGGCGGGGUAAGUCAGGUGUGAAAUCUCGGGGCUCAACCCCGAAACUGCACUUGAUACUGCCUCGCUUGAGUACUGGAGAGGAGACUGGAAUUUACGGUGUAGCAGUGAAAUGCGUAGAUAUCGUAAGGAAGACCAGUGGCGAAGGCGAGUCUCUGGACAGUUUACUGACGCUGAGGCACGAAGGCCAGGGGGAGCAAAACGGGG